rnacentral:rRNA from 1 species
AACGAACGCUGGCGGCGUGCCUAACACAUGCAAGUCGUGCGAGAAAGCUUCCUUCGGGAAGCGAGUAGAGCGGCGCACGGGUGAGUAACACGUGGGUAAUCUGCCCUUGAGUUUGGGAUAACCCGGGGAAACCCGAGCUAAUACCGAAUACGGCCGCAGGAUCCUCGGAUCUUGCGGAGAAAGGUGGCCUCUCCUUGGAAGCUACCUCUCGAGGAUGAGCCCGCGGCCCAUUAGCUUGUUGGUGAGGUAAAAGCUCACCAAGGCUUUGAUGGGUAGCUGGUCUGAGAGGAUGAUCAGCCACACUGGAACUGAGACACGGUCCAG